ACCCAGAUGACGAGUCCCAAGUAGGACGAAACGAGCAUCUUGGAU
rfam:Trichobilharzia regenti genome assembly, scaffold: TRE_contig0016502